UUGGCCCAACGCUGCAUCUGGUGCCCGGCACAGAACAAGGCCUAGCUGCUGCGGUAUAACGCAACCUCCGGAAGGUUGCGUCUGCUUCUUGACACAUCGACCUAACGCUUCGUAUUUGACUGCCACAGCGAGAACGCGCGCCACGAGGCCAUAACUCCCGAAGCCUUCGAUUGAGUCGGGAAACUACGUGCACCGGUAGAGAGCAAAUCAGUCAACGGAACUUCGCAAGGGCAAAGCAUACACAAGCCUUGGCGCGGCUCGAGCCAGAGGGGUUUGCGAAACCUAACAUGAAAGAGGCGUUUUCAGAGCAAGUGUCCGUAUGGGAGCGCAACAACACGACGUUCUAGCGCCUGCUUCGCCUCUCCGGGUGCUCUGCCGUGCUGCUACAUCGCACCGCACAACAAGUACCAGCAUCACGACGUUCCUCCGAACACGCUGCGCCGUUUCGCGGGACGUUAGUUGCCGAAAUCCCGCUUUUAUCUUACGACCUUGUUGACGCGAAAGUGAACCGGCUCGAACACAAAAGUGCUCCUUUAUCGAACGCAGCAGCUGCCUAAUGCAAAACACAAACUACACGAACGAGACUCUCGGUUUAGAUAACGCAAAACUGCUCGCGUAGCCAGAAUUAACGGCGCUCUUUUCAUAGGGACAAUUCGGCACACUAUCUAAAUCGGCGUACGCUCACAUCCACAUUCGCUGAUCGAGGUACUUCAAAGCAAGGAUAUUCAGUGCCGGCGCACUUUAAAGCACGCACUUCGGUCCUCUGCAAUGCAAACCGAGAGAGAUCAGAGGCAGACGAGGCAAAGUUAAAUCUACGAACCAGGACGACUGUGACUGAGAGAAACAGAAAUAAAAACCAGCACCACGCGCUUCGGUGAUCAGGCGCCGCAGAGCGGCCGAAAAGCAGCGGCGCUUUUAAUCGCCUGCCGCGGGGAAUUCCCUUUCAAUGCAGCAGGCGGGGCCGCGAGCUCAAACAGACGCGACAGAUGCGAAGCGUGCGAAAUGGGGAGACUCAACGGGAGGAGGGAAAAAGAAAAGAAGGAACGUGGACAAAGCAAGCGCAAAUGCAAACAGGUUCUCGCCCGGUGAGCACGCGCCUAUAACUGUCCGCUCAUAGCGGCAUGCAUUGCGUGGCUCUUUGUAAAUGCUCACUUGUCUUUUUUUUUUUUUCGUCCCAUUUUCCCUCUAUAACCUCCUCGCGUUUGCCGGACACGAAACCGUUGUCCCUACGCAGCGUGCGCUAUCCGUCGACGAGCAGCAGCCUCGUUGUGAGAGCGCCCGGGGUAAUCGUCGCACGAACAAAUCUCUAAAACUACGGAAACAGCCCGAAAGAAAAAAAAAGCAAAACAUAAAAUGGCGGUUGAUAGCCAGAACCAUAUCGCUAGAGAAAAAGUAACUAACGAAAAACGGCGAUACCCGUUGAGAUAACAGGCACGACAAUGUUUACACAAGGUGGUCAGCAUGCGCGAGCGGGCAUCGCGAGAUAAGGUCCAGAGAAAGCUUAUCGACUGAGACCGACAGUGGGUGAAAGCAACGGCCUCAUAUAACGAAAAAAAAAAGUUCCAGAAGCUCGGCGCUGAUGACGUCAUUUCCGAUGGCUGGGAAACAAAUUUAAGUAGUAGAAACGCUAACAUACUUUUUUUUUUCGUUGGAAGAAAUAAACUUUCCCUUUCACUGAUACGAAGAGUUACUGACGACCCCAUGUGCAUGCCUGUCAACCUGUGAACUCUACAAUUGCUAAUUCCCAAAACUAUUGAACGAGAAGAGAGGGGAAAGCCCGAGUUUAAGUUUUACUCCGAGCCCACACUUGUUUUUUUUUUUUUGUGUGUGUAGGAUACCUACAGACGCACUUUAGUGACACUGAUUUAUUUACCUACAGGACAUUUUACGCAAGCAGCAGCAAAGUUCGAACAGCCCAACUGUGAAGCAAUAAAGUACGACU